GUGAACCCCUAACUCUAGAAUGCUUUCAUUCUUUGAUAUUUCAGUUUAGCUAAUUAGUUCUCUUUUACUUUUAAGCAAUAAUUAGUUUAGUUUAUAUAUAUUCAUUCUCUCGAAUUCAAUAGUCUAGGUAAUUAUAAUUAGUAUGUAGUUUGGUACUCAAGCACGUUCCUCAUGGGAACGAUAAUUACUCAUCACUCUAUUACUUGUCACGAUCCAUGUACUUGCAAGAUUU
rnacentral:misc_RNA from 1 species